rnacentral:sRNA from 1 species
GAAUGGGGCUCUGAUGGCCGUCCUCCCCUGCUCCACGGCGGCCCUUCCAAGUGCCCCGUGCAAGGCAGACCUUCCCCUGCGGAGGAGGAAUGUUCUGCCUGCCAGGGAAAAUCAUGCAGCUGGGCUGCCUGGUUAGGACUUUCAAACCAGCUCUCAGCGCCCAAUUACGGAGGUGCCUUCAGGGCAAAGCAGGAACGGCAAAUUCAGAAAUCCUUCUGGGCUCUUCU